GACGACGCUGCGCGGUGCCUAAUACAUGCAAGUCGAACGGACGGAUUGAGGGAGCGUUGACGUCUUCAAUGAAGUUAGUGGCGGACGGGUGAGUAACACGUGGGUAAUCUGCCCUUCAGUGGGGGAUAACAUCCGGAAACGGGUGCUAAUACCGCAUAGUUUCUUUUUCCGCCUGGAAGAAGAAGGAAAGAUGGCCUUUGCGCUAUCACUGAGGGGUGGACCCGCGGCGUAUUAGUUAGUUGGUGGGGUAAUGGCCUACCAAGACGAUGAUACAUAGCCGACCUGAGAGGGUGAUCGGCCACAUUGGGACUGAGACACGGCCCAA
rnacentral:rRNA from 1 species